AGGGCGCGAAUCCCGACCCAGAAUGUACUGUACUAGUGAGGGAAGUUUGAAGUCAGACCAUGUGUAGAUAUUUUGGGACAUAGAGUUAUUUUAAACCGCACUCUCACGAGCAGGAAUGUUGUGGCGGGGAACACCAUUCAAAGUCAGGUUUCUAGACUUAAUACAUCUUUUUAUGAGGAUGCUGGCAUUUUAAGUGGGAGCGCAUAGCCAUGUGUGCGUUUUUGCGAACAUUUUGCUUAUAACUGUGGAUUCUUGCCUCAUAGAGAAGUUUAACGGAAGCUCUUAAUUAACCAUCUUCGCUGCCCAUGAGACAAUCAAGGCGACUUUAUUUAGGUUCACCGCAGGGCAUGCCUGUGUCAAGCGUUGCUAUCUUCAGGAACGAUCAGACUAGAAUAAAAACACAGCUAUGAAACUGUAUGAAGGAAGUUUAUGGUUUUGUGUGUGUAUGCAUAUUGACCACGGAGGCGAUUUUGCAGACACUCAAAGAGAGCGGGCUGCGGUAAUGCGUAGUAGUAAUGCGUAUGCGGAGUAUUCACGUGUUGGGGAUCCUCUGCUUUAGGCUGCCUGCUCUGCUGAGAUGCCUAGUAACAACUUUGAUAGAUAUAGAUAGAGAGGGGAAUUUUUAGGAAAAAAAAAGAUUUUCCUUACCCUGUUUCUUACGUUUGUAAUAUCUGUAAGCAACACUGAUUUCUUCCAAGUCGUGCCAAAGAAGCAAAUGUGAGUGUCGAGAGAGGGAGAGAGAGAAAGAGAAAAGAGAGAGAGAGCCUUAUUCACGUAUAUUUGUUUAGCUUAGAGUUGAGGCGCUGUUAAUUAUCCACGUGUAAGAAACUUCUCGCAGCGGACCUGCGUCAGUCCACACGUGUUGCCAGCCACCUCAGACUUUAGCUACAUGUUGUCUUCUUUUUCAUGGCAGCGAUGUAACUGCAUUUGAAAAACCCUGCAUGCACUCUAACUUUGUACUUGCAUUCGCUGAAGCAACAUGAUCAAGCAUCAAUCUCCCCAAACCGGCUGCUUUGUGGAGGUUAGACAAGACAGACAGACUGGGCUGUUCAGCACCAUGGACAGCACCUAGCUCUUCACUGCAGAGUCCAAAAUCACCACCGGAGAACAAGGACGUGCCUGCACCAUGGAUAGAACAGUGACGACAAAAGCAAGUAUGGAAAUUAGGUGACUUGUGUGACCGGGUGGACCCUGCUGCUGCUGUGGGAGCCUCCAGCUGUGCGCCGGAGGAGAAAAGGGGACCCACAUUUUGGAUGUUUUCACCGAGGAGCGCAGACGGAGAGAGAGAGAGAGAGAGAGAGAGAGAGAGAGAGAGAGACUCCGACCGACCUUCCCCUCCUAUUUUCCUCCUCCUCUUCCUCAUCCCGAGAAAGGACUUGGUGUAUGCAAUCCCACAGCACUGAAGCAACACUUGGUGGCCUGUGGAGUGCGUUCUUACCUUAAAUGCAGGAGCUCAAUGAUGAUUGAAAAAUGAAGAAAAUGGAAACUAACAUAGCCGAUGACGCAGAAAGGAACAAUAAAGGUUGGCAGGGAGAGAGAAGGCAGCUGGACGGGCGGCCAGAGAGCUUGGAUCAACCAAUACCUUUUUUUCCAGCAGCACCACCCGAAACCCUGAGAGUCAAGCCAGUUUGAGUGGGACACACCCGUACCUCCCUGUCCUCAGGACCACAGAGAGUCGUCUUAUCCCAGUAUGGGAA